rnacentral:rRNA from 1 species
GAUGAACGCUGGCGGCGUGCCUAAUACAUGCAAGUCGAGCGAACAGACGAGGAGCUUGCUCCUCUGACGUUAGCGGCGGACGGGUGAGUAACACGUGGAUAACCUACCUAUAAGACUGGGAUAACUUCGGGAAACCGGAGCUAAUACCGGAUAAUAUAUUGAACCGCAUGGUUCAAUAGUGAAAGACGGUUUUGCUGUCACUUAUAGAUGGAUCCGCGCCGCAUUAACUAGUUGGUAAGGUAACGGCUUACCAAGGCAACGAUGCGUAGCCGACCUGAGAGGGGGAUCGGCCACACUGGAACUGAGACACGGUCCAGACUCCUACGAGAGGCAGCAGUAGGGAAUCUUCCGCAAUGGGCGAAAGCCUGACGGAGCAACGCCGCGUGAGUGAUGAAGGUCUUCGGAUCGUAAAACUCUGUUAUUAGGGAAGAACAAAUGUGUAAGUAACUAUGCACGUCUUGACGGUACCUAAUCAGAAAGCCACGGCUAACUACGUG